GAUGAAGAACGUAGCGAAAUGCGAUACUUGGUGUGAAUUGCAGAAUCCCGUGAACCAUCGAGUCUUUGAACGCAAGUUGCGCCCGAAGCCACUAGGCCGAGGGCACGCCUGCCUGGGCGUCACACGCCGUUGCCCCCCCAUCUACUCCUUCGGGAUUGCGGGGGGGCGGAUGAUGGCCUCCCGUGCGCCUAGCCGCGCGGUUGGCAUAAAUACCAAGUCCUCGGCGACGCACGCCACGACAAUCGGUGGUUGCGAAACCUCGGUUGCCCGUCGUGUGCGUUCGUCGCGCAUCGAGGGCUCGAAAAAAUGCUCGGCUCCGGCUGGGCUUUCAACGCGACCCCAGGUCAGGCGGGGUUACCCGCUGAAUUUAAGCAUAUCAUAAGGGAGGA
rnacentral:misc_RNA from 1 species